CGGAGGCUACCGCUAUUGGAGUUCGAUUAAKCCAUGCGAGUCSCGAGAAAUUAGAUUCUCGGCGUWCCGCUCAGUAACACGUGGGUAACCUGCCCUAUGCUGGAUAAUAACCUCGGGAAACUGAGUAUAAUGRUCCRUAGUUCACUACGCSUGGAACGGUGAGUGGAUGAAAGCUCCGGCGGCAUAGGAUGGGCCUGCGGCGUAUCAGGUAGUAGGGGGUGUAACGUACCCUCUAGCCCUCUACGCGUACGGGUGUUGGGAGACAUAGCCCGGAGAUGGAUUCUAAGACACGAAUCCAGACCCUACGGGGUGCAGCAGGCGCGAAAACUUGGCAAUGCGAGAAAUCGUGACCAGGGAACUCCAAGUGCAUCGGGUAAGACCGGUGCUUUUCUUGACUCUAAAUAGGUCUUGGAAUAAGGGGUGGGUAAGGACGGUGCCAGCCGCCGCGGUAAUACCGGYGCCUCAAGUGGUAGUCGCUUUUAUUGGGCCUAAAACGUCCGUAGCCGGUCUGAUACAUUCGUGGGUAAAUCAACCAGCUCAACUGGUUGAAUUCUGCGAGGACGGUCAGACUUGGGACCGGGAGAGGUGUGGGGUACGCUCAGGGUAGGGGUAAAAUCCUGUCAUCCUGGGCGGACCACCUGUUGCGAAGGCGCCACACUAGAACGGAUCCGACGGUCAGGGACGAAGCCUAGGGGCACGAACCGGAUUAGAUACCCGGGUAGUUCUAGGUGUAAACACUGUGGACCUGAUGUUGGGGGUGCUCCGAGCACUCUCAGUGUCGAAGCGAAGGUGAUAAGUCCACUGCCUGGGAAGUACGGUCGCAAGGCUGAAACUUAAAGGAAUUGGCGGGG
rnacentral:rRNA from 1 species